GUUGGUGAACCAGCGGAGGGAUCAUUACCGAGUUAACAAACUCCCAAACCUUUGUGAACAUACCACUGUUGCUUCGGCGGGUUCGUCCCGGGCGCGCCCUCACAGGCGUGACCCGGACCCAGGCGCCCGCCGGAGGACCCCAACUCUUGUUUUUAUAGUGUCUCUUCUGAGUGGCAUAAGCAAAUAAUUAAAACUUUCAGCAACGGAUCUCUUGGUUCUG
rnacentral:misc_RNA from 1 species